rnacentral:lncRNA from 1 species
AGAACACCAAUCACAACACUAUAACCCAUUGGAAGAAAAAGUAUCACAUCAAUGAGUGUUAAUAAUGUGACGUCAUAAAUUAGUCAUCUUUUUGGUACAUUGAUUACUUUAUCUAAAAAUAUGAGGAAUAAUAAAUUUUGUUCUUUUAAACAUCUCAAGACAAGCCAUCUAUUUCUAAUACACCAAGGAACAAGACAUUGAUUAUUGAAAGUCAAAUUUACCAAUUGAGAAUUUGAUUCAAUCCAUAGGUAGUGCUACUCAUUUUUGUAAUUGUAUCAAAAGUAACCAUAACUUUUGUAAACUUAGCAUGCAACACAAUUGUAAUCCCCAAAUUCAUAGUGAAACAACCCUAAGAAGUUGUAGAGUUAACCUUAACCACAAGCAACUAUACCAUCAUUUCCAACAGCAACAGAACCAUGAGAGCCAAAAAUAGCUCCAUUAUUAUUACAUUUAAUUUAGUAAUAUUUUGGAGGAUGCCAAAAUCACUUCCUUGACGGUAGGAGACUAUGAGAAUGAGUUGUAACUUGGAAGAACUUGAGAAUUUGAAAUUCUUACAUAAAAUUGGAGUUUGUGUUAGAAGCAUGGUUGUCACAUAAAAACACAUUGAUAAUAAUUCUUUUGGUGAAUAUGUAAAAGCAAUAAUAAAGAGGACUUGUUUCGUACAAUACCAAAUAAUUUCAAUAGUAAAGGUGAUGUUGGCUAGAGUAACAUCACUACACUAGUGAGGCUCGCCUAUGUGACAAGAAGAUGUUGAACUGAGGUAGUAUUCAUUUGAGAAUGAAAAAUAGGAC